rnacentral:lncRNA from 1 species
GUGUCAAAUGUUCGGACUCCUCGGUGUUUUUCAUACGAUACAAUGUAAAAUAUUUUGCCCCAUAACACCUAUUUAUCUUUUAACAUAAGACUUUAUAAUUCAUAAAAGGUCAUUUACAAAAUUUAAGCAGAUUCUUGAUUUUCUUUCUUUUGAUUUGAGACCCAAAUAAUACCAAUGCAAAAUUAAGGUAAAAGUCCGAGUCAGCCUUUUCCCGCCAUAUUUUAUAAAUCAAAUAUCUCGAAAAGGAGCUCCAUGACCUAUCAAUAUUUUUAGCUUAGUUUGAUCCUUUUCCAAUACUCUUCCAGCUUAAAGUAUCAAUUUUGAAUUCUUGAUUUAUUUAAUUUUACCUUAGAUCACCUAAGUACAUCCUUAAUUGUUGUUUUUAGUAUAACGAAG